UACGUAGGGGGCUAGCGUUGUCCGGAAUCAUUGGGCGUAAAGCGCGCGUAGGCGGCCCGGUAAGUCCGCUGUAAAAGUCAAAGGCUCAACCUUUGAAUGUCAGUGGAUACUGCCGGGCUAGAGUCCGGAAGAGGCGAGUGGAACUCCUGGUGUAGCGGUGGAAUGCGCAGAUAUCAGGAAGAACACCGACGGCGAAGGCAGCUCGCUGGGACGGUACUGACGCUGAGGAGCGAAAGCCAGGGGAGCAAACGGG
rnacentral:rRNA from 1 species